rnacentral:rRNA from 1 species
AACGAACGCUGGCGGCAUGCCUAACACAUGCAAGUCGAACGAGACCUUCGGGUCUAGUGGCGCACGGGUGCGUAACGCGUGGGAACCUGCCCUUAGGUUCGGAAUAACUCCCCGAAAGGGGUGCUAAUACCGGAUAAUGUCUUCGGACCAAAGAUUUAUCGCCUUUGGAUGGGCCCGCGUUGGAUUAGCUAGUUGGUAGGGUAAAAGCCUACCAAGGCGACGAUCCGUAGCUGGUCUGAGAGGAUGAUCAGCCACACUGGGACUGAGACACGGCCCAGACUCAAACGCAAGACGGCAGAGGGGAAAAUGGGAUAAUGGGGGACAAAUGGAUCCAGCAAUGUCGCGGAUGGUAUGAAAGCUUGAGGGUUGAAAUCUUCUUUAUCCGGGGUUGAAAGGGAAGGAACCGGAAGAGUAAGCCACGCCUAUUUAAAUG